rnacentral:rRNA from 1 species
AUUGAACGCUGGCGGCAGGCCUCACCCAUGCAAGUCGAACGGAGAGGCAGACGGGUGAGUAAUGCCUAGGACUCUGCAUGGGAGUGGGGGAUAAAGUCCGGAAACGAGCGCUAAUGCUGAAUAAUAUCAGAUGAGACUAGGUCAGCUUGGCUAGUUGUUGUGGUAAAGGCGUACGAAGGCGACGAUCCGUAACUGGUCUGAGAGGAUGAUCAGUCACACUGGAACGGAGACACGGUCCAGACUCCUACGGGAGGCAGCAGGGGGGAAUAUUGGACAAUGGGCGAAAGCCUGAUCCAGCCAUGCCGCGUGUGUGAAGAAGGUCUUCGGAUUGUAAAUCACUUUAAGUUGGGAGGCGUGACCAACAGAAUAAGCACCGGCUAACUUCGUGCCAGCAGCCGCGGUAAUUC